GUAGGGAAUAUUGCACAAUGGGGGAAACCCUGAUGCAGCGACGCCGCGUGAGUGAUGAAGGCCUUCGGGUCGUAAAGCUCUGUCGUAUGGGACUAACACAAUGAAGGUACCAUGCAAGAAAGGAUCGGCUAACUUCGUGCCAGCAGCCGCGGUAAGACGAGGGAUCCUAGCGUUGUUCGGAAUCAUUGGGCGUAAAGCGGGUGUAGGCGGAUUUAUAAGUCAGGUGUGAAAUCCCAGGGCUCAACCCUGGAAGUGCACUUGAUACUGUAAAUCUUGAGUGUGGUAGAGGUUACUGGAAUUGUUGGUGUAGUGGUGAAAUACGUAGAUAUCAACAGGAAUACCGGAGGCGAAGGCGAGUAACUGGGCCAACACUGACGCUGAGACCCGAAAGCGUGGGGAUCAAACAGGAUUAGAACCCCUAGUAGUCC
rnacentral:rRNA from 1 species